UGGGGAAUUUUGGACAAUGGGCGAAAGCCUGAUCCAGCAAUGCCGCGUGUGUGAAGAAGGCCUUCGGGUUGUAAAGCACUUUUGUCCGGAAAGAAAUCCUUGGCUCUAAUACAGUCGGGGGAUGACGGUACCGGAAGAAUAAGCACCGGCUAACUACGUGCCAGCAGCCGCGGUAAUACGUAGGGUGCAAGCGUUAAUCGGAAUUACUGGGCGUAAAGCGUGCGCAGGCGGUUUGCUAAGACCGAUGUGAGAUCCCCGGGCUCAACCUGGGAACUGCAUUGGUGACUGGCAGGCUAGAGUAUGGCAGAGGGGGGUAGAAUUCCACGUGUAGCAGUGAAAUGCGUAGAGAUGUGGAGGAAUACCGAUGGCGAAGGCAGCCCCCUGGGCCAAUACUGACGCUCAUGCACGAAAGCGUGGGGAGCAAACAGGAUUAGAUACCCUGGUAGUCCACGCCCUAAACGAUGUCAACUAGUUGUUGGGGAUUCAUUUCCUUAGUAACGUAGCUAACGCGUGAAGUUGACCGCCUGGGGAGUACGGUCGCAAGAUUAAAACUCAAAUGAAUUGACGGGGUCAUAGCU
rnacentral:rRNA from 1 species